rnacentral:rRNA from 1 species
GACGAACGCUGGCGGCGUGCUUAACACAUGCAAGUCGAACGGAAAGGCCCUGCUUUUGUGGGGUGCUCGAGUGGCGAACGGGUGAGUAACACGUGAGUAACCUGCCCUUGACUUUGGGAUAACUUCAGGAAACUGGGGCUAAUACCGGAUAGGAGCUCCUGCUGCAUGGUGGGGGGUGGAAAGUUUCGGCGGUUGGGGAUGGACUCGCGGCUUAUCAGCUUGUUGGUGGGGUAGUGGCUUACCAAGGCUUUGACGGGUAGCCGGCCUGAGAGGGUGACCGGCCACAUUGGGACUGAGAUACGGCCCAGACUCCUACGGGAGGCAGAAGUGGGGAAUAUUGCACAAUGGGCGGAAGCCUGAUGCAGCAACGCCGCGUGCGGGAUGACGGCCUUCGGGUUGUAAACCGCUUUCGCCUGUGACGAAGCGUGAGUGACGGUAAUGGGUAAAGAAGCACCGGCUAACUACGUG